rnacentral:rRNA from 1 species
GACGAACGCUGGCGGCGUGCUUAACACAUGCAAGUCGAGCGGUAAGGCCCUUUCGGGGGUACACGAGCGGCGAACGGGUGAGUAACACGUGGGUGACCUGCCCUCAGCUCUGGGAUAAGCCUGGGAAACUGGGUCUAAUACCGGAUAUGACUCCAUGACGCAUGUUGUGGGGUGGAAAGCCUUGUGCGGCUGAGGAUGGGCCCGCGGCCUAUCAGCUUGUUGGUGGGGUGANGGCCUACCAAGGCGACGACGGGUAGCCGGCCUGAGAGGGCGACCGGCCACACUGGGACUGAGACACGGCCCAGACUCCUACGGGAGGCAGCAGUGGGGAAUCUUGCGCAAUGGGACGAAAGCCUGACGCAGCGACGCCGCGUGA